rnacentral:lncRNA from 1 species
GAGCAGGGGGCAGGGGGUUGGGGGAGAGGAGAACCCAGAGGAGGGGAGAGGGAGCCAGGGAGGGGAAGGCAGCCAGAUGACAGCUGAGGAGGAAGGGUGCCCUCCCCCCAAAUACAGAAGCAAGUAUCUAUGACCCCAGCUGGCCAACGACCAUCCCAAGGACUCAGAAAUUCAGGUGAGUUCAGAACCCGCUUUCCCUCCCGGGUCUGGGACUCGGGGUGGUCCAAUUUCCUCUCUAUGUGUACCUCAGAAAAAUCAUCAGAAUGAGGGCCCAGGAAACAGAAGUGGACUUGAGGCGGCCUGACAGCAGUGAGUUGAUGGAAGAGGAUACCCCCCAGAGGCUGCUCCCCUUCCAGGCCCCAGCCCUCGCCUGGACCCCAGCUCUCCCCGACCCCAUGGUCAGGAAGCCCGCCUCGCCCUGUUUGCCCCACCCUGGGACAGACCCUGCAGGCAAACAGGGGCUUCUGGGGACCCUCCCCGCAGAGUCCCCACCCAAAGGCCUCUCCCUCCCCGAGGCGGGGGAGGGCGGGUCCCGAGAUCUCAGGCCUUGAUCCCUUUGCCAUAGGCACGACUUCCUGGCCACCCCCUCUGCCUUCGACUGCCACCCCCUCAUCCCCUCAACAUUCCACAGCCCCCCCCCCCCAGCAGAAGGCACUGCUGCCCCACCAUCCCUGCGGUGGAAACCGCCCUAUCAUGCCGUGGCCUUUGCUCACUGCCACACGCCACCGGGCAUCCUCUACCCCCACAGGGGUGCCUUUCCCAGAAGCAUCUGGGCUGUCAGACCGCACGGAGCCACGUGGGGACAGGACCGGGCGCCGGCUGCCUUGGUGGGGCCUCUGCUGCCCUUCCGUGGGCUGCAGGCAAGAGAGCCCCUGGCCCGUGGCAUCAAAGGUGUCGCCUCCUCUCCUUGCCUCCUGGGGGUAGAGGCCCCCCCCCCCCCCCCCCCCCCCCCCCCCCCCCCCNUUCCUCUGUGGAUAUAAGACGGUUCAGUGUAAGGACAGUGCUCAGAACAACGCCUGGUCCUUAGGGAGAGCUCGAUAUAUGUUAAUAUCACCCUCUAAAUUAAUCCUCAUAGCAUCCCUGUGAGGUCAGCAUUAUGCGCCUACUUAACUGGUGGGGAAACCGAGGCAGAGAGAGGCGAAGCCACUGCCCCGAGUUUAGCAGCACUAACCGGCUGAUCAGGGAUUUGUACCCAAGUCUAUUGGAAGCUGUGCUUUCCAGGCUUUCCAGUCUGCGCUGGUUUGGCAGCCGGCUUUGGACACACACACACACACACACACAGACACACACACACACACACACACACACAGAUUCAUACACACCCUGUACCCCCACCCCGCGGGAGGGGAUGAGAGGCUGCACCCCACCAAGAGGAGGAGGCGGAGCCUUUCUGAGGCACCAGCCUCCUGUUCGGGCUCCAGAGCAGCACGCGCGCCACCUGGUGGCCAUGAUAGGUAAAUGCCACCUCGGUCCCAGUCUACCCCUCCCUGCCCGCAGCCUGGCGCUUCCUGUGGCCCCUGGGGCUAAGGUGUGUGCUGAGGCUGCAGAGCUGAUUCUGCAGAGCUGUUGCGUCCCAGGUUAGGCCCCCAAACCAGGGCAGACUGGAAAGCCCCAGGCCUGGUGGCUGAGAGCACAGCUUCCAAUAGACUUGGGUUCAAAUCCCUGACCAGUGGGCUAAACUCAGGACACGGAAGUCGGUUUCCUUUCCACUGAGCUUCCUCCAGGGAUGGAGAAAUGAGCCAUCCCCGUGUUGCUGUGCUUGGGCUGCUGGUGGUUUGGGACAGGUGUUGCAGCAGAAAGUUCAUUUUGCUGAAAAUACAUCGUAUAUUUCCCCCAAAUGCCUAUUCUAGUUAAUAUUCUUUUUCUUUUUUGGCUGCACCUGAGACAUGCAGAAGUUCCCAAGCCAGAGAUCAAACCUGCACCACAGGAGUGACCUGAGCCACUGCAGUGACAAGGCUGGAUCCUUAACCUGCUGCAUCAAAAGAGAACUCCCCUAUUCUUUUCCUGAUUCCUUUAUGUAAGUGACAGGUUAUUCCAGAGGCGCUUUCCCCACUUAGCCUGGUGCUGGCGGCUCAACCCAGCUCUUCCUCCUCCUCCAAGCUCGCUCUGCUCCUGGGUCUGGGGGCGCCCGGCUGCAUCUCCCUCCCAGGCUUUCCUCCCAAGCUGCUGCACUGGCUCUUCAGCAGCCUGGAGGCCUACCCCACCAGGGCACGUGGCGGUCCCCUCCAAGGGACCUGCCUCCAAUGUGACUUCCUACCUACCUGCUCCCAUGGUUGUAAGCAAUCCUCAUCCAGUUAACUCACUCAGGUUUAACUACAAUUUCCACAGCACAGGUGAAAGUUGGGGGUGCAGGGAGGGGUCUGAGGAUUUGGACAACCUGGAGCCGGAAGCCAGACCCCGGCUGACUUGGUCCAGAAGCUGCAGGGGCCCAUGGGGCUGGAUGGCUCAGGAGGACGGUUGGGGGCAGGAUGGGACCUAACACGCAACGGGAAAUGAAGAUUUCCAGAUGACUUUUCACGUGGGCAGUAAACCAAGCAUCGGGCCCCUUGGAGCACCUGGGUCAGGUCGGACAGGAGGUGAAGGAAGCCAGGCGGGACUGUGGCUCUGGGCCUCUUCAGCCAGGUCCAGGGUAGGUUGUAGGAGAUGUGCCUGCUGCCUUCCCACAAGGUGACCCCCUCCCCAGCCUCCCAGGGGCCCCUUGUUGAGAGUAGAAAGGCCCCUUGGGUCCUGAGAGUGAGAAAGCAGGGGCGACAGAGAGGGGGCACUGCUGCUUUCUCUCCUUUGACCAGAUCCCUCCUCCCUGUCAAUCCUCGUCUCUGACCUCAAAAUCCCCAGAUAGGAGCUCCCGUCAUGGCUCAGCGGAAAUCCAUGAGGACACAGGUUCGAUCCCUGGCCUCCCUCAGUGGGUUAAGGAUCUGGCGUGGCCAUGAGCUGUGGUGUAGAUUGCAGAUGCGGUUCGAAUCUGGUGUUGCUGUGACUGUGGUGUAGGCUGAUAGCUGUAGCUCUGAUUCAACCCCUAGCCUGGGAACCUCCAUAUGCCAAGGGGGUGGCCCUAAAAAGCAGAAAAAUAAAAUAAAAUAAAAUUAAAUUAAAAAAUAAAAUAAAAUAAAAUAGGGAGUUCCCGCCAUGGCUCAGUGGAAACAAAUCUGACUAGCAUCCAUGAGGAUGCAGGUUCGAUCCCUUGCCUUGCUCAGCGGGUUAAGGAUUCGGCACUGCCCUGUGCUGUGGUGUAGCUCACAGACCCAACUCUGAUCCUGCAUUAUUGUGGCUGUGGUGAAGGCCGGCAGCUGCAGCUCCGACACAACCCCUAGCCUGAGAAUCUCCAUAUGCUGCGGGUGUGUCCCUGAAAAGACAAAAAAUAAAAUAAACAAAGCUCCCAGACAACCCAGAGGGAUUCUCAUAUCAGGACCAGUAGCUUCCCCACCCCCCCACGUCUUCCCACACUAGGUCCCUGGGCCAGGAGCAUUUAAAAUGUGCGGCAGGAGUUCCCUGGGGGCUCAGUGUGUUAAGGAUCCAGCGUUGUCACUGCUGUGGCUCUGGUUGCCUCUGUGGCACAGGUUCACUCACUGGCCUGAGAACUUCCACAUGCCACAGAUAUGGGCAAAAAAGAAA